rnacentral:misc_RNA from 1 species
AGCAGCAACAAGAAUAAGACGCUAGGCAGCGUCUGUGCUGCUGGCAACAUACGCGCUCUCCCUCUUUUGCCGUUCCCAUUACCCAAGCCCCUUUCUCUACCUUCUCCUUCCGAGCUUCCCCCUCUCCAUCCAUUAGCCGCGAAAGCAGAUGCGCGCGGUCGUUAGCGCAGUGCUGCAGCCGUCCUCCGCGGUAGGCGCCCUACGCUGCCAAGCACGGCUCAUCACACGCCUCUACACCUCCUACUUCAAGGGCGAGUUGUUCCCCAAUCAGCUGGUGCGGCCGCUGGAGCGGUUGCCACGCGGUGUCUCUCUCGCCGCAGCGCGCAAGGGUCAGCUGGCGGCUGCGCCGAGCAGCUCGGGGCCUGGCAAACCUGCGACGGCUGCGUCACCAGAGGUGGUCGCCUGGGGGGAUGUGGACAGCACUGAUCUUGUGCAUGCGAACGAGCAAUCCCGUGCGGUGGCGCCCCAGGCGGGCCUCGCCCCGAGGCGCCCGUACGUUCCCCUCGGCGAGGUGGCGAAGAUGGAGCUGCAAGGCGACUACCUCACAGAGGGCGGUCUGCAUCAAGAGGCCUUAGAGUACUACGGUGUGGUGGCAAGGCGUAUGAGCUGGCCUACCCUAAAGAUCAUCCGCAGGUGGCUGGCAUCCGCCUCAAGCUCGCCGGUGCCUUUCGUCGAACGGGGCGGCUGGCCAGCAGCAAGACAAACUGUGAAGCUGCGCUGCAGAUGCUUGACAACGCUGUCCAACCGCCGCUGGAGCUGAUUGUAGAGGCGCUCUUUGAGCUGGGCCUCACUUCAGAAGCAAUGAGUGAUGAUGCCGCAGGCACCGUCUUCGAGGAGGCCGUCGCCCUCGUCGACAUGUUUCACAACUCGGGCCAGUCACAUAAGAUGCUGCGUCUACUUCCCCGCCUAGGCCGCCGCUUCAACCUCAACUUCGAGGAGAAGUUCGUGUACUUCUCGCCCUUUGAUUACGAUCGCGUCUUCGCACUGGCGGACCAGUGCCUGGAGAGAGCUGAAGUGUUCUAUCAGGCGCGCAACGACCGUGCCGGCGUGAUGCGGGUUCUACAGCAGCGCAAGGAGCUCAUUGACAAGAAGUUCUUCAACAUGCGCGACUUUGCCGGCCGCAUCCACACCAUGCGCGGCCACUGGAAGCGCCGUGCGCAGGUGCUCACAAACGCGCCGACGCCGGACGAGCUGCUGCGGUACUCGCCCACGAUCCAUCAGGUGUACCGUGACUUCAAGUAUGAGCUCAACGCACCGAUCGGCCGUGAGAAGGAGGUGCAGCCCGGCGUGAACCGCGUGGUUCAUGACAUGGGUAACCCGUACCGCCGCAACGGCGUCCGUUCCCAGCGCAUGUUCCGGGAUGCGGAGAAGAACUUCGAGAAGUAUAUUCGGGCGGACGCGUUCGAGGCGUAGAGGGCCGUUGAGGGGAAACGAGCAAGGAAGCAUCGAAAGUAAUCAUACAAAAAACGGCUUCGCCGUACACUGCACACCACACAUGAUGGGGAGUACGGCUGACAGGCGUCGGGCGGAGGGUGGGAAGAGCCAAAGGCACCGCCUCGCCGGCCUACGAUCAUCGACGCGGCUUCGACGCCGACCUUCGGUCGUAUUGUCCGGAUGGGCGUAUUGUGGUGCUCGCGGGUUGGACUUCGGCGCCGUUUUUUUUUUUUGUUGUUUGCUUGCUUGUGUUAUCGUCUUGGUGUCGUGUCCGUGGUGCUGUGGUGGAUGAGGUUGCUCGAUGGGUGCAUGAAUUCGUGCGGCAGGUUUGCCGUCACAUGCCCGUAUCACACAGAUUGGAGGCAAAGGCGAAGAAAAGGGCAGCGGAAGAAAUGAGGGCGGCUGUGCGCGCAUAAAAUCACUGCGCAUCACUCCAUAGGCGAGGGUGGGAGUUACAGACGCCCACACAGAGACCCGCACCGACACAUCCGCGCCCGUUCUGUGGAACGCCUCCUACUAAGGUGGCUUUUUUCGUGUGUCAUGGGAUUGCUUCAGCAGUGCAUCACUGUAUGAGUUGUUUGCCUUGCUGCUUGCGUAUGUGUCUCGCCGAGAGAGGGCGCUCCACCUUGCUCAUCGAGGUUUCUCUUCUCCCUAUUACCUUCCAGAAGAAGUCCUUCUUGCCGCUCCGUGCCCCCCCUGCUUCCAUGCGAAUCCUCGUCCACACCUAAAGUUCACCUUCGCUUCUCCACUGCACACCGUGCAG